GCAACUAUAAGUGCAAAAACGGCAAAUAAAGAUGGGGGACUCCCUGCAAAUGCAUGUAUAAACCCAAAAGAAAGAAAAAGUGUAUUUCUGAAGUCUAAUUGCAAUAAAUGUGAACUUCCUGCACUCUGAUGGCUGAACAGAAAACACAUAUCUCAAAGCUACCACUAACAGGUCAGGGUUCUCACAACUCUCCUGGCAUCAGGUGUCCAAAUUCCUUCUUCAUUAAGCUCUGUCAUACUAACAAAUUUGUUGUUUUACAUUCAACAUCCAUCCACCCAUUAUCAUGCCAAGACAGUUAAGAAAGGAAAGCAAACUUUAAUAAAUAUCACAUUUACUAAUGACGAUAGAGACCUAUUUCCUGGGGUUCCCUGGGAAUGGCUCUAGAACAGGAUCCAGCUUUAGUACUGGUCCUGGGUUUGGUUCUGGCACUCUUCGUGAUACCAUGCCUAGUGUGGGCUCCAGUGCUGGUCCCAGAUCCAGCCCUGCUCAAGCAGUGGCUCUAACUCCAGGCUUAGCUCUGGCCCCCUGUGCCAGUGUGGGCUCCAGCUCUAAUGACUCAAGUUCUGGCUCUAGUGGUUGUUCUAGCUCAUCCACUUGUCUGUUAGAGACCACAAUGAGCCUAUGUUUCAGGUUAUUUCCUCUGUUCCUGAAGAUUAACUCUCUCCUGGUAGUAGCACCCAAAAGCCUCAUCCCUGGGGCUUCAGGAGUAGAGGAAGUACAGCAGGUUCUUGGGUAAGUCUGCCUCAGUAAGAGGUUGGUAGUGGUGGAUGACCUCAGUUAGCACGAAUGACUGCAGUACCUCCUGGUGCAGGGCUGCACUUCAUCAUCGUUCAACCAAGAACAGGUAAUACCCCCUCCCAAUGAUUCACUUAAGUGCAACAGAAAGGUACCAGAGAUGGUCUUCAGCAGCUGGCAUUCCUGGCGGUGUUGGAAAAGAAUUGCUGAUUCUAGGCAUGUGAGCUGACCAGACUGAACCAGAGAACCAAGGACCAGGCAAUCAAGAGUAGGUUCAUGUUAGAAAUAAUCACCACACAGAGGGUAUCUGUCUUCAGCUCCUGCUUCAGAUCCUGGUAGGUGCAUCCGACCAUGAAGCUGAUAAAUGUGUGGUUCCUGUUGCACCCAGCAGUCCCCUAUUGUUGCCCUUUCCAGAACCACCUGAACACGGCUCCACCAGUCAGGCAGGCAGAGUCCCAAAUUAAACCCUGAUUCUGCUCCUUCUUGGGGGACAAAGUUUUCUGGUUUGAAGUCAGAAUGCUGAACUUCUGGAAACUUUGUACAGUUGGCCCUCAACAUCCAUGGGUUCCACAUCCUCAGAUUCAAGAAUAUUCAGAGGAGAAAACAUUUCAGAAAGUUCCAAAAAGCAAACUUGAAUUUCUCUUGUGCCAGCAACUAUUUACUUAGCAUAUACAUUGUAUUAGGUAGCAUAAGUAAUCCAGAGAUGAUUUAAAGUACACAGGAGGAUGUUCAAGCUGGUGGAGG